rnacentral:rRNA from 1 species
CAAGCGCGAAGUAAGGGCAUCUGGUGGAUGCCUUGGCACUGAGAGGCGAUGAAGGACGUGGCACGCUGCGAAAAGCCGGGGGGAGAUGCGAGCGAUCUUUGAUCCCCGGAUAUCCGAAUGGGGCAACCCACCCCGCGAGGGGUAUCGUCACCUGAAUCCAUAGGGUGGCGAGGCGAACCCGGCGAACUGAAACAUCUCAGUAGCUGGAGGAAAGGACAUCAACGAGACUCCGUGAGUAGUGGCGAGCGAAAGCGGACCAGGCCAGUGGCGUUUUUGUUUGGUACCGGAACCGUCUGGAAAGGCGGGCCAGAGCGGGUGACAGCCCCGUACGGGAAACCGGCAGAGGCGUCCUUGAGUAGGGCGGGACACGUGAAAUCCUGUCUGAACAUGGGGGGACCACCCUCCAAGCCUAAGUACUCCUCAGUGACCGAUAGUGCACAAGUACCGUGAGGGAAAGGUGAAAAGCACCGCGAUGAGCGGGGUGAAACAGUUCCUGAAACCGGAUGCCUACAAGCAGUCGGGGGUUCAGUUAUCAGUAAUCAGGGAUCAGUAAUCAGAACCGAUGGCGGCGACGCCAGGGAAUGUUGGCGCGGCGAGAGCCGGGCAAAGGCAGUUCUGAUGACUGAUUGCUGACAUCUGGUGACUGGGCUGACGGCGUACCUUUUGUAUAAUGGGUCAGCGAGUUGGUCUUAGUAGCAAGCUUAAGCCGGUAGGCGUAGGCGCAGCGAAAGCGAGUCCGAAACGGGCGUUUUAGUUACUGGGAUCAGACCCGAAACCGGGUGAUCUAGCCAUGGGCAGGUUGAAGGUGCGGUAACACGCACUGGAGGACCGAACCCACUACUGUUGCAAAAGUAGGGGAUGACCUGUGGCUAGGGGUGAAAGGCCAAUCAAACCCGGAAAUAGCUGGUUCUCCGCGAAAUCUAUUGAGGUAGAGCGUCGAUUGCUCACCGCCGGGGGUAGAGCACUGGAUGGGCUAGGGGGGCGCGAGCCUUACCAAACCUAACCAAACUGCGAAUACCGGCGAGUGGAGAUCGGCAGCCAGACGGCGGGUGCUAAGGUCCGUCGUCGAGAGGGAAACAGCCCAGACCGCCAGCUAAGGUCCCCAAGUCGUGGCUAAGUGGGGAAGGAUGUAGGACGGCCAAGACAACCAGGAGGUUGGCUUAGAAGCAGCCAUCCUUUAAAGAAAGCGUAAUAGCUCACUGGUCUAGUUAAGCUAUCCCGCGCCGAAAAUGUAACGGGGCUCAAGCCACGCACCGAAGCUGCGGAUUCCAGAAGACAGUAAUCAGGUAUCAGUAAUCAGAAACGGUGAGAGAUGAACGGCUUUGUCAGUCGGGUCGAGGAUCUCGGCGUGUUCCAGCGGGCCUAUCGAUUAUCGCUGGAGGUGCAUCGGGCGAGCCUUGGGUUUCCGCGGAUCGAGCAAUGGGCGCUGGCCGAUCAGGUACGGCGGGCGUCCAAAUCGAUCUGCGCCAACCUGGCAGAGGGGUUCGGCCGGCAGCAGCAGUCGAAGCCGGGAGUUCCGCCGUUUUCUGAUCAUGGCGUUGGGGUCUGCCGACGAGACGCAGGUCUGGACGCUUUAUUGUCGCGAUCUCGGCUAUAUCGACGCCGAUAUCGCCGAGCGCUGGCGGGGCGAGUACCGGGAGAUUGCCCGGAUGCUCUCCGGCCUCCAUCGCGUCGGUUCUGAUGACUGAUAACUGAUUACUGUCUUCUGGAGUGGUAGCGGAGCGUUCCGUAGGCCCGUGAAGGUGGCUCGCGAGGGCUGCUGGAGGUAUCGGAAGUGCGAAUGCUGACAUGAGUAGCGUAAAUGAGGGUGAGAAACCCUCACGCCGAAAGUCCAAGGGUUCCUGCGCAAGGUUAAUCCGCGCAGGGUUAGCCGGGCCCCUAAGGCGAGGGCGAGAGCCGUAGCCGAUGGGAAUGGGGUUAAUACUCCCCAGCCUGCCGGAGUGUGACGAAGGCCGAAGGUUGUUUGCCCUUACUGGAUUGGGCGGGCGGCGGUAGGUCUUCCAGGAAACAGCACCGGCACAUAGACCGUACCCGAAACCGACACUGGUGGACUGGUAGAGCAUACCGAGGCGCUUGAGAGAACGGUGUUGAAGGAACUCGGCAAAAUGCCCCCGUAACUUCGGGAGAAGGGGGCCCUGCGCGCGGGCAACCGCGCGUGGGGGGCACAGAAGAGGGGGUGGCGACUGUUUACUAAAAACACAGGGCUCUGCGAAGUCGCAAGACGACGUAUAGGGUCUGACGCCUGCCCGGUGCCGGAAGGUUAAGAGGACCGGUUAGUUCCUUCGGGAGCGAAGCUGAGAAUUUAAGCCCCAGUAAACGGCGGUGGUAACUAUAACCAUCCUAAGGUAGCGAAAUUCCUUGUCGGGUAAGUUCCGACCUGCACGAAUGGCGUAACGACUUCCCCGCUGUCUCCAACACCGUCUCAGCGAAAUUGAAUUCUCCGUGAAGAUGCGGAGUACCCGCGGUCAGACGGAAAGACCCCGUGCACCUUUACUACAGC